rnacentral:lncRNA from 1 species
UUUAUCUCCCUUGUUACCAGCUUUUCUGGUGAGAAGAAAGUUGGCCCAUACCAAACUUCACUUGUCACUGUUUGGAACCUAAAUUGAAGAAAGAAAAACAUGGUGGCAUAUUCAGUGAACCUAUCCUCUAGCACCUACACCACAACUGACACAUGGAAAGGAUAUUGAACGAAUUGAAUUUUAAUAGUAAACAAGCCUCAUUGCUGCUCCCUGAAGAUGGAUGAAAUGGUUUUAAAGCCCACAAAGGAAAAUCAAUGAACUCGUGAUCUAUACAAUGGCUGAGGGAGUCCAAAGAAGCCAUCAAUAUGUCAAUAUGAUCCAGCUUUCUUUAAUCAGAGAUAAAGUCAACAAAUCUUCAAGAGAAAAAAAUCACUUCCUGAGGCCCUAGAGCUAAAAAAAACAAAAACAAAAACAAAAACAAAAUUGAGGCUAGAACACAGAUUGACCUGGAAUGUAUUGUCAUUUUUAUCAUAUUUUUCAAUUUGGAAAAAU